rnacentral:lncRNA from 1 species
GCUUUUAAUUUAAUAAAUUUUUAUAGCAUCUCAUAGUUUCUUCAUGAAUUUUUUUUCCGAUUCGCAACUUUGUUUAAAGAGAAUACAUUUUAUUUUUAAAAUGUCUAUCGCCAUCUUGUUCCUUCUAAUAGGUAAAAAUUUAUAUACAAUGUAAAUUUUUAUAUUUUACUCCAAAGUCUUCUAAGAUAUAGCAAGUCAACUCCAAGGCAUAUCAACAAAUAAUUUAUGCUUACAGAAUAAUUAAAUAUUUCGCGAAUACCAAAUAGUCUCAACCAAUUAAGACUUUAAUGCUCUGCAAUUUCAUACUUCGUUUAACCUAUAACUUUGUCUUUUCAAACGUCCCUGAUUAAACUUAAUAGACAACAUGCGCUUUUUGCAUACACAAUGGAAUGUUAUCGUUGUUGAGUUUUAUGAAAUUGUUGGAAGAUAACAUUGCCACAUGAAUGUACUGAAGAGAAACGUAUACAAUUCAAUGUAGCCUAUUAAUAUUUGUGUUUCAUGUUAUGAU